AUGCUUUGGCAGCAGGUAUAUUAAAAUUGGAAUGAUACGGAGAGGAUUAGCAUGUCCCCAGGUAAGGAUGACACACAACUUCAUGAAGCAUUCCAAAAAAUG